CAUAGAGGUAACCUGUUAAUAACCUAUUACUGACCCUAACCCUAACCAACGAUACAUAGAGGUAACCUGUUAAUAACCUAUUAUCAACCUAUUACUAACCCUAACCCUAACCAACGAUACAUAGAGGUGACCUGUUAAUAACCUAUUACUGACCAUAACCCUAACCAACGGUACAUAGAGGUAACCUGUUAAUAACCUAUUAUCCACCUAUUACUAACCCUAACCCUAACCAACGGUACAUAGAGGUAACCUGUUAAUAACCUAUUAUCAACCUAUUACUGACCCUAACCCUAACCAACGGUACAUAGACAUAACCUGUUAAUAACCUAUUAUCAACCUAUUACUGACCCUAACCCUAACCAACGAUACAUAUAGGUAACCUGUUAAUAACCUAUUAUCAACCUAUUACUGACUAUAACCCUAACCAACGGUACAUAGAGGUAACCUGUUAAUAACCUAUUAUCAACCUAUUACUGACCCUAACCCUAACCAACGGUACAUAGAGGUAACCUGUUAAUAACCUAUUAUCAACCUAUUACUGACUCUAACCCUAACCAACGAUACAUGGAGGUGACCUGUUAAUAACCUAUUACUGACCCUAACCCUAACCAACGGUACAUAGAGGUAACCUGUUAAUAACCUAUUAUCAACCUAUUACUGACUAUAACCCUAACCAACGGUACAUAGAGGUAACCUGUUAAUAACCUAUUAUCAACCUAUUACUGACCCUAACCCUAACCAACGGUACAUAGAGGUAACCUGUUAAUAACCUAUUAUCAACCUAUUACUGAUUCUAACCCUAACCAACGAUACAUAGAGGUGACCUGUUAAUAACCUAUAAUCAACCUUUUACUAACUCUAUCUAUGGUCCUGCUCAGAUACUAACAACAUCAAUAAAUAAGUGAACGUAACCUGGAGCCCAACGAGCAGGAGUUAAUGCCAUGUCUUGUCUGCUGCAG
rnacentral:lncRNA from 1 species